rnacentral:rRNA from 1 species
CAUUUAGAGGAAGUAAAAGUCGUAACAAGGUUUCCGUAGGUGAACCUGCGGAAGGAUCAUUAUCGAAUAAACUAGGUGGGUUGUUGCUGUCCCUCUCGGGGGAAUUGUGCACGCCCUACCUUUUUUGUUUUUCCACCUGUGCACACACUGUAGGUCUGGAGAGGAAGGGAGGCAACUCCCUGACGUUUCAGGUCCUAUGUCUUUACACAUACACUAUUAAAAGUAACAGAACGAUUCAAUGGGCUCUAAGCCUAUAAACUAUAUACAACUUUCAGCAACGGAUCUCUUGGCUCUCGCAUCGAUGAAGAACGCAGCGAAAUGCGAUAAGUAAUGUGAAUUGCAGAAUUCAGUGAAUCAUCGAAUCUUUGAACGCACCUUGCGCUCGUUGGUAUUCCGACGAGCAUGCCUGUUUGAGUGUCAUUAAAUUCUCAACCUCAUCGCUUUUGUGAUGAUGGCUUGGAAGUGGAGGUUUUUUGCAGGCUGAAAAGUCUGCUCCUCUCAAAUGAAUUAGUGGGUGCCCCGCGCAAACCUAUCUAUUGGUGUGAUAAUUAUCUACGCCGUGGAUCCUUAGGAUUGCUGUAAAAAGGUGUUUGCCCUGCUUCUAACCGUCUUCGGACAACUUGAACCAUUUGACCUCAAAUCAGGUAGGACUACCCGCUGAACUUAAGCAUA